GCGGUCAUAGUGUAGUGGUAACAUAACAGACUUCCAAUCUGUUGUCACGGGUUCGAAUCCCGUUGGUCGCU
rnacentral:tRNA from 4 species